GGAGUUAGCCGGUGCUUCUUCUGCGAGUAACGUCACAGAUGUAAGGUAUUAACUUACACCCUUUCCUCCUCGCUGAAAGUGCUUUACAACCCGAAGGCCUUCUUCACACACGCGGCAUGGCUGCAUCAGGGUUUCCCCCAUUGUGCAAUAUUCCCCACUGCUGCCUCCCGUAGGAGUCUGGGCCGUGUCUCAGUCCCAGUGUGGCUGAUCAUCCUCUCAGACCAGCUAGGGAUCGUCGCCUAGGUGAUCCUUUACCUCACCUACUAGCUAAUCCCACCUGGGCUUAUCCAUCAGCGCAAGGCCCGAAGGUCCCCUGCUUUCCCCCGUAGGGCGUAUGCGGUAUUAGCAGUCGUUUCCAACUGUUAUCCCCCACAAAUGGGCAAAUUCCCAGGCAUUACUCACCCGUCCGCCGCUCGUCAUCUUCAAAAGCAAGCUUUUGAAAUGUUACCGCUCGACUUGCAUGUGUUAGGCCUGCCGCCAGCGUUCAAUCUGAGCCAGAAUCGAACCCUGA
rnacentral:rRNA from 1 species